CCUCAUUUAAGUGUUGGCAGGGGCGGCAAGGGUAUUUUGCUGAAGUUCCCUGCCUACUGGAGGCCUUCCAAAGUUUCCAUUCAAUGAGUAGCAGAGCUGCAAAAGGAGAAGGAAUGUGAAGUGCUGGGGCAGAGGAAGCGCAGCCGCCUCCUCCCUGCUGCAGGGGAUGUGGAGCAAAGAAGCCACCUCACACUGAAUGACCGAGCAAGGCUGUAGUGCCUUACAGACAAGAUGGCACCGACUAAACCUAAAAAAUGACUAACUGCCAAGAUAAUGCAAGGAAUAAUGAGGUUACAACAGCAGCAAAGACGCUAAGAAAACUGAUGUGUUAUCUCUUCACGGAGUUCACCACAAAGGAAUAAAAUGCUUCAUCUUUAAAAUGGAUGGGUCUAAAAUUUGAGAUCACAGCUCUGCUUAUCAGGACAUGCUGAUGGAUUGGAUUAUGCGGCAGUCACAUGGAGGAGCCUUUGCCCAUGUUUGAUUUUGUAAAAUUAGUUCUUGUCUGCAACGUAUCACUUUUGUACUGAGGGGAGAAAACUAGUUUGCUGAGAACUACUUGAAUUAAACUUUAAAAAUAAAAGGAACAUCAGCAAUAAGUUCAGCUUUCUAAUGAGACAAAUCCUAGAACUCACUUGUGACUUGGACUGCAGGACAAGAAAAAUUAGGAAAUCUUCUUGUAGUGCCGCACAUGUUAAGCAGGCCCUGGACCCGGGCUGCUCCUCACAGCAGAUGUGUGAGGAGGUCAGGGAGUGGGUGCAGACUUGGCUCCUGCACAGCUUUGACCAUUGCCACUGAUA